rnacentral:rRNA from 1 species
AUUGAACGCUGGCGGCAGGCCUAACACAUGCAAGUCGAACGAGUGGCGGACGGGUGAGUAAUGUAUGGGAAACUGCCCGAUGGAGGGGGAUAACUACUGGAAACGGUAGCUAAUACCGCAUACCAUCGGAUGUGCCCAGAUGGGAUUAGCUAGUAGGUGGGGUAACGGCUCACUUGGGCGACGAUCCCUAGCUGGUCUGAGAGGAUGACCAGCCACCCUGGAACUGAGACACGGUCCAGACUCCUACGGGUGUCAUCAGGGGGUAAUUUUGCACAAUGGGCGCAAGCCUGAUGCAGCCAUGCCGCGUGUAUGAAGAAGGCCUUCGGGUUGUAAAGUACUUUCAGCGAGGAGGCGUUACUCGCAGAGGAAGCACCGGCUAACUCCGUGCCAGCAGCCGCGGUAAUAC